rnacentral:rRNA from 1 species
AACUGGGAUUAGAUACCCCACUAUGCUUAGCCCUAAACCUAGAUAGUUAGCUCAAACAAAACUAUCCGCCAGAGAACUACUAGCAACAGCUUAAAACUCAAAGGACUUGGCGGUGCUUUAUAUCCCUCUAGAGGAGCCUGUUCUAUAAUCGAUAAACCCCGAUAAACCUCACCAUCUCUUGCUAAUUCAGCCUAUAUACCGCCAUCUUC